CCUGGGGUUAUGGCGGGGUGGCUGCACCCGUUCCCUUUCCGAACACGGCCGUGAAACGCCCCAGCGCCCAUGGUACUUCGUCUCAAGACGCGGGAGAGUCGGUCGCCGCCAGGU
rnacentral:rRNA from 1 species